UAAUACGGAGGAUGCGAGCGUUAUCCGGAUUUAUUGGGUUUAAAGGGUGCGUAGGCGGUUGUAUAAGUCAGCGGUGAAAUUUUCCGGCUUAACCGGGAGACUGCCGUUGAUACUGUAUAGCUUGAAUACGGUUGCUGUGAGUGGAAUGUGUGGUGUAGCGGUGAAAUGCAUAGAUAUCACACAGAAUAUCGAUUGCGAAGGCAGCUCACAAAGCCGUUAUUGACGCUGAUGCACGAAAGUGUGGGGAUCAAACAGGAUUAGAUACCCUGGUAGUCCACACUGUAAACGAUGAUAACUAGCUGUCGGCGAUACACCGUCGGUGGCCAAGCGAAAGCGAUAAGUUAUCCACCUGGGGAGUACGACCGCAAGGUUGAAACUCAAAGGAAUUGACGGGGGCCCGCACAAGCGGAGGAACAUGUGGUUUAAUUCGAUGAUACGCGAGGAACCUUACCCGGGCUCGAACGGUGCAGUAAUAUGGUAGAGAUAUCAUAGCUAGCAAUAGACUGUAUCGAGGUGCUGCAUGGUUGUCGUCAGCUCGUGCCGUGAGGUGUCGGCUUAAGUGCCAUAACGAGCGCAACCCUUGUCGUUAGUUACCAUCAAGUAAAGUUGGGGACUCUAGCGAGACUGCCACCGUAAGGUGUGAGGAAGGGGGGGAUGACGUCAAAUCAGCACGGCCCUUACGUCCGGGGCGACACACGUGUUACAAUGGUAGGUACAGAGGGCCGCUAUCCAGUGAUGGAGUGCCAAUCUCAAAAACCUAUCUCAGUUCGGAUCGGAGUCUGCAACUCGACUCCGUGAAGUUGGAUUCGCUAGUAAUCGCGCAUCAGCCAUGGCGCGGUGAAUACGUUCCCGGGCCUUGUACACACCGCCCGUCAAGNCAUGGAAGCCGGGGGUGCCUGA
rnacentral:rRNA from 1 species